UAUUAUCGAUGACUUGCAAGAUUGUUGCUUACAUUGUCUGACAGAUAUCUAUGUGGUGAUAACUGCAAGAGCUGAGGCUUUA